UAGAUUAGCCAGCAUUAGCUCAGUUUUGGAGUAGGUUGACUAGCAGCAGAGGGCAGAGAGCAAGAGUGUGUGUCAUUUGGGAUUUGACGCAGACUGAUUUAAUCUUAUUUCAAUUGCUGGGGGAAGCAUUGAACAAGAGUCAGUCAGAGAAUUGGAAGAUGUUUAUGAAAAUCCACAGGCCAAAGAUCCAGUUGUACAACACAAAAGACAGUGCCCCCAGUCAGAUAGGCCUCCUCUGUCCCCCGGCUUAGCCUGAAUUACUGCAUCUCUGUAGAUAAAUAGGA
ensembl:lncRNA